rnacentral:rRNA from 1 species
UACGUAGAGUGCAAGCGUUGUCCGGAAUUACUGGGCGUAAAGGGCGCGUAGGCGGCGUAACAAGUCACUUGUGAAAUCUCCGGGCUUAACUCGGAGCGGUCAAGUGAUACUGUUGUGCUAGAGUGCGGAAGGGGCUACUGGAAUUCUCGGUGUAGCGGUGAAAUGCGUAGAUAUCGAGAGGAACACCUGCGGCGAAGGCGGGUAGCUGGGCCGACACUGACGCUGAUGCGCGAAAGCCAGGGGAGCGAACGGG